rnacentral:lncRNA from 1 species
GGAUCACUCAGCCGCGGAACCCUUUGGAGGAACUCAAGCCUAGCUCUGGGGGAUCAAAUGUGGGGCUCACCCAUCCCCAGACAGAGGCCUCAGGGGCUAUAGAGUUUGUUGCUGACCCUGCAGCCCUGGCCACCAUCCUGUCAGGUGAGGGAGUGAAGAGCUGUCCCCUGGAGUCCCGGUCCAGUCUGGCUCAGAGAGUGCUAGUGCGUGAGAGAAAGGGAGGCACCCACAUCCAGAGGGGCCAGAGUGCACGGUCUUCCGCAUACCUGGCUCCCAGAAUCCGCGCCCACCAAGCGGAUCCCGCCAGGGCUUCCUGCUUCUCAAGGCUGGAGGGCCCAGGGCUCCGAGACCGCACUUUUUCCUCACAGAGGUCAGAGGCUCUGAACCCACGUGCAGGUUCCUCCUUUCAUUCCUCCGCUCGCCCCAGUUUACAGGAGCUCAGAAGAGAGACCUGUGGCGGUAGCAGGGAUGGAUCCUGUACUGACAGCAGGACCUCAGCAAGCCAGGCCUCGAGACUGCUCCUGAAGACCCCGGUGCAGCCUGCUUCCUUAACCCUCAGAGGAGACCACGAGGCUGUUCCUCACUCAGGUGGAGAAGGAGGACCCAAACUGGGUCUGGCUCAACGAGUUCCAUUAAAAGAAAGCCUAACACACACCAGGACCACAUAUUCAUCCAUGAAACGCUUUACCACUCGACGGAAAACCCAAUUCACACCCCUCCGGUCACUACCUAGAGUCCAGCAG